AAGGGCCACCUGCUGGGUGAGUGCAAAAGCCACAGGGAAAAUAUCUUACGGAAAGAUCUUCGAAUGUGUCCGCCCGGAUGCCUUUGGCGGGAGUAGUUACCCUGACUUGUCCUGCUCUCGUGGAGAACGUUUCACUAAAAUCAUGGCUCGUAUCACCUGGACCAAAGUUCUCUCAAGUGUGCGAGAAUGGUGGCCAGAGCUUCCAGACUCGGAGGGAUUCUGCUCUCUUGUCCCGGGGACACACGGGGACGUCCGGACACACGUGCAGCUGUCCUGAUGACACCGGUGCUCCCGGUACCGGGUGCGUGGGGGUCGGAAAUGCUGCUAACACCUCACCACGCACAGGGCGGCCCCAGGGCGGGCAGUGGCCCGGCCCCCGUGUCCAUCCUGCUGGAGACAUCGCUGUCACAGUAGAAGAACCAGCUGCCGGGGCGUCACAUGAGUGGCCAGGGCGAGCCAGCGAGUCGGCAGCAGAGCUCAGAUUCAGCCCCACGUCUGUCCCAGGCUGUGUCGCCGCUGUCCCAGCAGGGCUGGCGGCCCUGCGCGGGGAGCCGGGCAGUGGGGCCCGCAGGCGCCUGUGUCAGAGCCGCAGGUCCCUGAGCCACGAGCCCGUUGGUGGGCGGCCCACACUGACUUCUACGCUGCGGCCUGGGGACACCUGGGGACACCUGGGGACGGACGCGGAGGGUGUGGGGGGUGGCACUCUGCCCCGACCUCCCUCCCCUCUCCAGCCCAUACAUUGUUUCCCCGAGUCUGAGCAAAAAGAUGGGACAGAGAGAACAGAUUUAAAACUAAUCUAAUCCUGAAAAGCCGAGGUCACCACCACCUCCCCUCAGAGCAAACAGCACUUUAUUACUUUUGUGUGUGUGUCUGCCAUUGAAACUUAAAUUAGUUCAAAGGAAACAGAGGGCGCUUUCCUGUUUCUUUUUCUCUCCCUUAAACAAAUAGUAGCAUUCUCAGAAGAGGCCUCACACGAUAGUGAAUUACAUUAUUUCCAAUAAAUUCCAACAGUGCUGCUAUAGUAACUGUCUU
rnacentral:lncRNA from 12 species